UGGGGAAUAUUGCACAAUGGAGGGAACUCUGAUGCAGCGACGCCGCGUGAACGAAGAAGGCUUUCGAGUCGUAAAGUUCUUUUAUAUGGGAAGAUAAUGACGGUACCAUAAGAAAAAGCCCCGGCUAACUACGUGCCAGCAGCCGCGGUAAUACGUAGGGGGCUAGCGUUGUCCGGAAUCACUGGGCGUAAAGGGUUCGCAGGCGGAAAUGCAAGUCAGGUGUAAAAGGCAGUAGCUUAACUACUGUAAGCAUUUGAAACUGCAUAUCUUGAGAAGAGUAGAGGUAAGUGGAAGUUUUAGUGUAGCGGUGAAAUGCGUAGAUAUUAAAAAGAAUACCGGGGCGAAGGCGACUUACUGGGCUCAUUCUGACGCUGAGGAACGAAAGCGUGGGUAGCAAACAGG
rnacentral:rRNA from 1 species